rnacentral:rRNA from 1 species
UACAGAGGGUGCGAGCGUUAAUCGGAAUUACUAGGCGUAAAGCGCGCGUAGGCGGCUUUGCAAGUCGGGUGUGAAAUCCCCAGGCUUAACCUGGGAACUGCAUUCGAGACUGCAUUGCUAGAGUAUGGGAGAGGGAAGUGGAAUUUCCGGUGUAGCGGUGAAAUGCGUAGAUAUCGGAAGGAACAUCAGUGGCGAAAGCGACUUCCUGGACCAAUACUGACGCUCAUGUGCGAAAGCGUGGGGAGCAAACAGGAUUGAGAA